rnacentral:ncRNA from 1 species
UAAAAACUGGUGAUCAAGAGGAGUACAUACUUUGGGAGAUUUUCAGAGAGCCGCAGGCGGUGUGAUUGCGGCAGUCAAAGAGGUAUGGAAUGGACUUGAGAAGGUGGGAGCAACGAGCCGACGGCUUUAGUAAUGCCCAACGGGAUUUCCGCCCGUUAUCAAGGGAAAGCGUAUGAUAGUACGUGUGGAGAGAGGGUGCAUUUUUAUGUGCCAAAUUAGGUGGUACCGCAGAAGGUUUAAGCUUUUGUCCUAGUA